rnacentral:misc_RNA from 1 species
UUUCCUCCAUUGGAGAGAGCGCAGAUCCAUCUUCGUCUCCAAGUUUCUACUCAAACACCCAAGAAUCCCCUUUUUCUCUAUCUGAUUGAGUUUCAUUUGAGAUAACACUCACUUUUACACUAUAAUUACAUACAUAUAUGGUCCUGAGAUCUUCUUGAGAGUAACAAAAAUGGAUUCUCAGCCUUCCCCUUCUUCGGGAAGAUUCGAAAGUAGUCCUUCGACUAGCAACAAUACUCCAUUCUUG